rnacentral:rRNA from 1 species
GACGAACGCUGGCGGCGUGCUUAACACAUGCAAGUCGAACGGAAAGGCCCUGCUUUUGUGGGGUGCUCGAGUGGCGAACGGGUGUGUAACACGUGAGUAACCUGCCCUUGACUUUGGGAUAACUUCAGGAAACUGGGGCUAAUACCUGAUAGGAGCUCCUGCUGCAUGGUGGGGGUUGGAAAGUUUCGGCGGUUGGGGAUGGACUCGCGGCUUAUCAGCUUGUUGGUGGGGUAGUGGCUUACCAAGGCUUUGACGGGUAGCCGGCCUGAGAGGGUGAACGGCCACAUUGGGACUGAGAUACGGCCCAGACUCCUACGGGAGGCAGCAGUGGGGAAUAUUGCACAAUGGGCGGAAGCCUGAGGCAGCAACGCCGGGUGCGGGAUGACGGCCUUCGGGUUGUAAACCGCUUUCGCUUGUGACGAAGCGUGAGUGACGGUAAUGGGUAAAGAAGCACCGGCUAACUACGUG